AUUGAACGCUGGCGGCAGGCUUAACACAUGCAAGUCGAGCGGAGAGAAGUAGCUUGCUACUGAUCUUAGCGGCGGACGGGUGAGUAAUGCUUAGGAAUCUGCCUAUUAGUGGGGGACAACAUUUCGAAAGGAAUGCUAAUACCGCAUACGUCCUACGGGAGAAAGCAGGGGAUCUUCGGACCUUGCGCUAAUAGAUGAGCCUAAGUCGGAUUAGCUAGUUGGUGGGGUAAAGGCCUACUAAGGCGACGAUCUGUAGCGGGUCUGAGAGGAUGAUCCGCCACGCUGGGACUGAGACACGGCCCAGACUCCUACGGGAGGCAGCAGGGGGGAAUAUUGGACAAUGGGCGGAAGCCUGACCCAGCCAUGCCGCGUGUGUGAAGAAGGCCUUAUGGUUGUAAAGCACUUUAAGCGAGGAGGAGGCUACUUUAGUUAAUACCUAGAGAUAGUGGACGUUACUCGCAGAAUAAGCACCGGCUAACUCUGUGCCAGCCGCCGCGGUAAUAC
rnacentral:rRNA from 1 species